CUGGGCUGCGAAACAAAAUUCCUGCUCUGCAAAAUAAUAACAUUGAAUUUCUUCUGUAGCUGAAUCCUUUACUUACCUCUGAGCCAGAGCCGUGAGGGCCAGCAGGGCUCCCUGCACCACACUGCUGUCUCUGGUGUAGAGGAGCUUCACCAAGCUCUGCAGAGCAGAAGAGGAACUUUAUCUUCUAAAAACCACAAUACGGUUCCAAAAAGGUCAUCGUGACAAGACUCUGAGAUUCCAACCCCUGCUCACCACAAGACAAAUACCGAGUAGCGACAGACUCCAUAUACUGAGGGAGGAAGAGGAGGAUGAAGUUAUAUGAGGAUUGGUGGGACCUCGUCAACCACAGGAAUGAGAUAUGGAGGGAUUUACCCUGGCAAGGAAAUCGAUGCCGUGGAGCUGAUGAAGAGUGAUCUAAAGAAUAUCCAAUAAAAUGUUAUUGUUCCCAUCAAACAAAAGUAGUUUAAAGUAAAUAUAAACAUGCUUUAAUUGUUUGUACCUGAUAGUUUGGAUCUCUGAUCAACAGCCGCAAACAGACAAUAACUCGAAAGAUGGACUCAGGCGGCGCGCGAUCAAUCCACUCACUAUUUCAGGAUAUAAUAUUAUCCUAAGUAUGUUUUUUGUCUGAGAUUACACAUAAAUGUAUACAUGUGAUGGGCGUUUACCUGCAGAGUCGAUUCUUGAUCAAAGUAGUAAGGAUGCCAGAGAACAGUUUAUCCAGAGGAUGGUUGCUGAAGCACCUUUGGUCUUUGUAUGUUAUGCUAGAAAAUCAAAUAUUUGUGAAAAAUUAUGCAUAAAUGCCACAACUUCUGUCUUCAGA